rnacentral:rRNA from 1 species
UACGUAGGGGGCAAGCGUUAUCCGGAUUUACUGGGUGUAAAGGGAGCGUAGACGGAUGGACAAGUCUGAUGUGAAAGGCUGGGGCUCAACCCCGGGACUGCAUUGGAAACUGCCCGUCUUGAGUGCCGGAGAGGUGAGCGGAAUUCCUAGUGUAGCGGUGAAAUGCGUAGAUAUUAGGAGGAACACCAGUGGCGAAGGCGGCUUACUGGACGGUAACUGACGUUGAGGCUCGAAAGCGUGGGGAGCAAACAGG